GACGUAGGGGGCAAGCGUUGUUCGGAAUUAUUGGGCGUAAAGAGCUCGUAGGCGGUCUGUCGCGUCGGCUGUGAAAACCCGGAGCUCAACUCCGGGCCUGCAGUCGAUACGGGCAGACUGGAGUUCGGCAGGGGAGACUGGAAUUCCUGGUGUAGCGGUGAAAUGCGCAGAUAUCAGGAGGAACACCGGUGGCGAAGGCGGGUCUCUGGGCCGAUACUGACGCUGAGGAGCGAAAGCGUGGGGAGCGAACAGG
rnacentral:rRNA from 1 species